rnacentral:rRNA from 1 species
UACGUAGGGACCGAGCGUUGUCCGGAAUCAUUGGGCGUAAAGAGCGUGUAGGCGGCUUGCUAAGUCUUGCGUGAAAUCUCGGGGCUCAACCCCGAGCGGUCGUGGGAAGCUGGCAGGCUAGAGUGCGGGAGAGGAGAAUGGAAUUCCUGGUGUAGCGGUGAAAUGCGCAGAUAUCAGGAAGAACACCCGUGGCGAAGGCGGUUCUCUGGAACGCAACUGACGCUGAGACGCGAAAGCGUGGGGAGCAAACAGG